rnacentral:tRNA from 1 species
GCUCCUAAAGGAUAACAGCUGAUCCGUUGGUCUUAGGAACCAAAGACUCUUGGUGCAAAUCCAAGUAGUAGCU